GGAUGUGAAAGAGAUCUGGCUGUGGCAUCUGUAACACCAUUGACCACCAAGGGUUGAUUUGGCUGAUCUGACUGCCUAGGCAGUUGUCACCUUCCUCCUUCACCGCUCCAUGUGUGUCCCUCCCGAAGCUGAGCUUGGUCUAAGAAGAUGACCUUCCCCAGUAGAGGAGAGGACCAGAGAAGACUUUUAUUCCGUCAAGGGCAUCCGAGUAGCUGCACUCCCCGGCUAGAACCUUCAAACAAGCUCUCAAGAACAUUUGUCGGAGAAUGUAGUAGAGUCAAACUUCCAAGACUCCAAAUGAGGGGCUGCACAUGGCAGUCUGACUUUGUAA
rnacentral:snRNA from 1 species